rnacentral:rRNA from 1 species
ACCCGCUGAACUUAAGCAUAUCAAUAAGCGGAGGAAAAGAAAAUAACAAUGAUUCCCCUAGUAACGGCGAGUGAAGAGGGAAGUAGCCCAAGCUGAAAAGCUGGCGGAUUAACAGUCUACCCGCAUUGUAGCCUAAGGAUAGGAUCGUUCUAUCUUGGUGGCCCAGGUACAAAUCCUUUGGAACAAGGUAUCAUAGAGGGUGAGAAUCCCGUCCUUGACCUGGUUGCUGCUUUGGUAGUGGUCUUCAUCCGCGAGUCAGGUUGUUUGGGAAUGCAGCCCUAAUGGGAGGUAAAUUCCUCCUAAGGCUAAAUAUUGGGGAGAAAUCGAUAGCAAACAAGUACCGUGAGGGAAAGGUGAAAAGAACUUUGAAAAGAGAGUUAAAUAGUACGUGAAAUUGUCGAAAGGGAAACGAUUGACAUACAGCCAUACGAGUCGGAAAUCAGCCGGGUAAUCUUACCCGGUGCACUUUUCGGCUUGUAGGCCAGCAGCAGUUUCGACCGUUGGAAAUAGGUAGAGGAAAGGUAGCUCACCUCGGUGAGUGUUAUAGUCCUCUAUUUGUACAAUGGUUGGGACUGAGGAACGCAGCUCGCCUCUCCUCGGAGAGGGUGGUAAAGUAGAUUCGGCUGGACUCGAACGGUUGGGGCUACAAAGGCUUGUACUUUGUACCCUACGGUCGGGGCCACUCGGGUUUGCUUCUUCCUACGGGCUAAGGUUGCUGGCAUAAUGAUGUUAACCGACCCGUCUUGAAACACGG